rnacentral:piRNA from 1 species
AACCUCUCCUAUUUACAAGGGUUUUGG